rnacentral:rRNA from 1 species
GACGAACGCUGGCGGCGUGCUUAACACAUGCAAGUCGAACGGAAAGGCCAGUGCUUGCACUGGUACUCGAGUGGCGAACGGGUGAGUAACACGUGGGUGAUCUGCCUUGCACUCUGGGAUAAGCUCGGGAAACUGGGGCUAAUACCGGAUAUGAACUGCUGCUAGUGGGGGGGGUGGAGAGUUUUUUCGGUGCAAGAUGAGCUCGCGGCCUAUCAGCUUGUUGGUGGGGUAGUGGCCUACCAAGGCGUCGACGGGUAGCCGGCCUGAGAGGGUGUACGGCCACAUUGGGACUGAGAUACGGCCCAGACUCCUACGGGAGGCAGCAGUGGGGAAUAUUGCACAAUGGGCGGAAGCCUGAUGCAGCAACGCCGCGUGGGGGAUGACGGCCUUCGGGUUGUAAACUGCUUUCGACAGGGACGAAGCGUGAGUGACGGUACCUGUAAAAGAAGCACCGGCUAACUACGUG